UUUAAUGGCGAGUUACAGUUUUAGUAAACAUUGCCACCUAAUUAGUGGAUAUGCAAUUUUCUUUUUUUAAUCUUAUAGUUUAAUCUUUAUUUAUACAAACAAUAUUUAUAUUGUUUGAUGCUAAUUUUGAAUGAAAAAGAUUGACUGAACUGAAAAAAUAUGUGCUUGCAAAGAUAAUAUGAAUAUAAUAUUUUUAAUGUUUAGUCUUUCUUCAACAUUUGUUAUAGAGAUGUAUGUCUAUAUACAAAUGUGAUCCCUUAUAUUGAAAAAGUCCUGUUGCGAAAAAAAAAGUCAAUAAGUAAAAUAAGCAUUGCUUACUAAUCAGAUUCAUUUGGUCAUAUUUAAAUAGGUUUGACUUUUAAUUUAAAUCAAGCAUUGUUCACUCUUCCUGCUAAACGAGUUUUGGUCAUGAGGUUUGGGAAGGAAGGUUUUGUUUUGUUUUUCUGUCAGCAUUUCCUUCUACUUGUUGCUUAAUUCGGUCAAGUAACACCUCUCUACUCAGAACAGGGAUAAAGAAUAGUGCCAUCAAAGUCAGAUGUCACAGAGCUGGAGAAUGUAGAUAUGAUGGCAGAGGACACUGAUGUUAAGGUGAAAGUAAUGAACAGACAGAGCAUAGACACUACUGCUAACUUCAGUUCCGAGGACUCAAGAUUUAAAUGUUGGUGUCAUGAUGUUUUCGAUCCAAACCGAAGACCAGAGAAAUUUAGUCCAUGACUGGAUGAGACAAUGUUAUCUAAAAGAAUCUCUAUCCUCUCCAUUAAGUCAGUGGACUCAGGAUAUGCUUCAAGAAAAUGCACAGGCAUUUUCUUAAACUCUGAAUGUGAAUAAUAGAAUAAAAAAAUGAUGCCACUACUACAGUGUAACUGUCCACUCCAGGUGCCACUCCAAAAUAUCUGAACUAUGACCGCCAUGAAUGGGUUUGUGAUUCAGUCAGAAUCAUUUGAAAAGAUCAUAACACACUGAAAUGAUAUUCACCUAUGAAUAUCCACGAUAUGACUAUGAAUAUCCUUGAAGUUAUCUUUACCAUCGAUCUGCUAAGCAUUAUAAUGUUUGAAAUGAUAUUAAAGUUGUAAAUCUAAAUAUCUAAAAAGGUAUGGUAUCACUUUCUAAGAAACCCGUAUUUAUAAUGCAUUAGGACUCUUAAGGCAUUAUAAUGAAUUAAUAAUGCAUUAUUGAAAAAAAAAACGUAUAAUAUGUUGUAUCAUCUCAUAAAUAAUCAUAAGAACUUUUUUAAUGUAUUAUACAGUACUUAUUUGUGGUUAUAGCUUUUAAGAGUAUUAUGAUUUAGAACACACAACAAAGAUGUUGCAUCCACAUGAAUUACAAUGAAUUAUAUUUCCCAUAAUGUAUUAUAAGUCUCAUAUCUUGCCAUUGUUUAAGAUCGGCACAGUAAUUCAAUACAUCUACUUAGUGU